CUUAAGUGGGGAAUAACGCAUCGAAAGGUGUGCUAAUACCGCAUAAUCUCUGAGGAGAAAAGCAGGGGAUCGCAAGACCUUGCGCUUUUGGAGCGGCCGAUGUCUGAUUAGCUUGUAGGUGAGGUAAAAGCUUACCAAGGCUUCGAUCAGUAGCUGGUCUGAGAGGACGACCAGCCACACUGGGACUGAGACACGGCCCAGACUCCUACGGGAGGCAGCAGUGGGGAAUUUUGGACAAUGGGGGAAACCCUGAUCCAGCCAUGCCGCGUGAGUGAAGAAGGCCUUCGGGUUGUAAAGCUCUUUCAGCCGGAACGAAACGGUUACGGUUAAUACCCGUGACUACUGACGGUACCGGAAGAAGAAGCACCGGCUAACUACGUGCCAGCAGCCGCGGUAAUACGUAGGGUGCGAGCGUUAAUCGGAAUUACUGGGCGUAAAGCGUGCGCAGGUGGUUUUGUAAGUCAGAUGUGAAAUCCCCGGGCUUAACCUGGGAACUGCGUUUGAAACUACAAGGCUAG
rnacentral:rRNA from 1 species